GGAUUAGAAACCCUGGUAGUCCACGCCGUAAACGUUGGGCGCUAGGUGUGGGGAACCUUCCACGUUCUCCGUGCCGCAGCUAACGCAUUAAGCGCCCCGCCUGGGGAGUACGGCCGCAAGGCUAAAACUCAAAGGAAUUGACGGGGGCCCGCACAAGCGGCGGAGCAUGUGGCUUAAUUCGACGCAACGCGAAGAACCUUACCAAGGCUUGACAUAUACCGAAUACUCAUAGAGAUAUGGGGUCCGCAAGGGCGGUAUACAGGUGGUGCAUGGUUGUCGUCAGCUCGUGUCGUGAGAUGUUGGGUUAAGUCCCGCAACGAGCGCAACCCUCGUUCUAUGUUGCCAGCGCGUAAUGGCGGGGACUCAUAGGAGACUGCCGGGGUCAACUCGGAGG
rnacentral:rRNA from 1 species